GAGCUCUGCAGACAGCCCAGGCUCCCGCCUGAGCCAGGGGAAGGCUCUGGCGCCAGGGGAGCCAGAAGGAGGCGGAGGCGGAAAAGAAGUGGAGAAGGCAGAAGAUCAGUAAUGAGGAGAAGGAGCAUCCGUACCUUCGAACCGCGUGAGAAGCAUGUUCUAACAGAAUAAACAAGCAAAGGGUGUAAAAAUAUAGCAGCAAGGAACCAGAGAAAGUCCUCUUCCCUUUCCCAGUACCUUUUACUUCUAUGG